AGGACUUUAAGGUUUUUGUACAGACACUGGUGGAUUUUCGGUGGAGGAACUAAACUCUCUGUUGGACGUGUCACUCAGUCCUCCCUCUCUCUGCUGCCCCCCUCCAGUGAGGAGCUCCAGCAGGGGAAGGCUACACUGCUGUGUUUGGUCAGUAAGGGCUUUCCCUCAGACUGGAUGCUGAGCUGGAAGGUGGACGGUAGCAGGUGGAGCUCAGGUGUGGUGGUCAGCCCCGGCGUGCUGCAGCAGGGAAAUGGCCUGUACAGCUGGAGCAGCACGCUGACCCUCACUGCGGACCAGUGGAGGAAGACGAGGGCAGUAAGCUGUGAGGUCAGUCACGGCUCCAGCACAGCAGUGAAGAAGAGUCUGAACACACAGCAGUGUAUCGAGAACUAACACACACACACACACACACACACACACACACACUCUCUCUCCAUCAGUCUGCAGUGUGUACGAGUGUUUCU